rnacentral:RNase_P_RNA from 1 species
CAAGCAGGCUGGACAGCCGCGCGGACGGGACGAAAGGCCCGCCUGUGAGGAAAGUCCGGGCUCCGCAGGGCAAGGAUAACGGGUAACACCCGCCGGGGGCGACCCUAGGAAAAGUGCAACAGAGAUAAACCGCCUCGUCCCCAUUAUUUUAAUGGGGCCCCCACAAAAACAUCUGUUUUUGCGGGGACCGAGGUAAGGGUGGAAAGGCGGAGGUAAGAGCCCGCCCGAUGGCUGGGAACAGUCCAUCGCUGUAAACUCUAUCCGGAGCAACGCCGUGGAGGGACAUAUGGUCGGCCCGACCGUCCCAUGGAGGCGGCUGGAGCGUACCGGCAACGGUGCGUCGAGAUAGAUGGCUGUCUUAAAUGACAGAACCCGGCUUACAGGCCUGCUUGUACC